rnacentral:lncRNA from 1 species
UGUCUUCUCCAUGUUCAGAAGAGAAGCAACCAAUUUCUCGAUGAUGACUAUCUUGGCUCCUAGAACGUAGGAGACAAUGUAGUGAUCAUCAGAGUCUGCGAAACGCCAGAACUCCUUCACCAGAUUCGUGUACACGGGGCCAUAGAGGCAUUGAAAGUAAUUUUCCCACCCUUGCUUUUUCAGUUCUUCAGUGAGGUCGACGCCAUUGC